AUUGAACGCUGGCGGCAUGCCUUACACAUGCAAGUCGAACGGCAGCACGGGUGCUUGCACCUGGUGGCGAGUGGCGAACGGGUGAGUAAUACAUCGGAACAUGUCCUGUAGUGGGGGAUAGCCCGGCGAAAGCCGGAUUAAUACCGCAUACGAUCCACGGAUGAAAGCGGGGGACCUUCGGGCCUCGCGCUAUAGGGUUGGCCGAUGGCUGAUUAGCUAGUUGGUGGGGUAAAGGCCUACCAAGGCGACGAUCAGUAGCUGGUCUGAGAGGACGACCAGCCACACUGGGACUGAGACACGGCCCAGACUCCUACGGGAGGCAGCAGUGGGGAAUUUUGGACAAUGGGCGAAAGCCUGAUCCAGCAAUGCCGCGUGUGUGAAGAAGGACUUCGGGUUGUAAAGCACUUUUGUCCGGAAAGAAAUCCUUGACUCUAAUACAGUCGGGGGAUGACGGUACCGGAAGAAUAAGCACGGGCUAACUACGUG
rnacentral:rRNA from 1 species